AAACCAUUUUUUGCCUAAGUAUGGGAGACAGAACAGGACCCAUUGAGCAAUAGAAAAAGUACCGCAAGGGAAAGCUGAAAAAGAGAUGAAACAGACCAGUUAAGACCACCAAAGUAGAGAUAAACUCUCGUACCUUUUGCAUCAUGAUUUAGCCAGAAACUUCAAGCAAAGAGUACUUCAGUUUGAAACCCCGAAACUAAACGAGCUACUCCAAGACAGCCUAUAACCAGGGCACACCCGUCUCUGUAGCAAAAGAGUGGGAAGAGCUUCGAGUAGAGGUGAUAAACCUAACGAGCUUAGUGAUAGCUGGUUGCCUGAGAACUGAAUUUUAGUUCAGCCUCCCGGCUUCUCCUACCAACUAUAUUAAAAUAAUUAUGGACAUAAAGAAACCGAGAGAGUUAGUCAAAGGAGGUCCAGCUCCUUUGAAACAGACACAACUUUUCCAGGAGAGUAUGGAUCAUAUACACUAAAGGAAACAUGUCCUAGUGGGCCUAAAAGCAGCCACCUUAUCAGAAAGCGUUAAAGCUCAAACACAUAAACUAUCCAUCAAUCCAGAUAAACUAAUCCAAACCCCCUAACAUUACCAGGCCAUUCUAUCAACAUAGAAGUGACCAUGCUAAUAUGAGUAAUAAGAAAGUACCUACCUUUCUCAUAUGCACAAGUGUACAUCGGAACGGACCAACCACCGAACAUUAACGUCCCCCAAAAAAGAGAGCAUUGAAAAACCACACCCAAACCUAGAAAAACCUUCAAACAUAAACCCGUUAACUCUACAGCAGAAGCGCACAAAAUGAAAGACUAAAAGAUUAAGAAGGACUCGGCAACAAACCAAGCCCCGCCUGUUUACCAAAAACAUCGCCUCUUGUAAACCAAAAAUAAGAGGUACUGCCUGCCCAGUGACAAUUAGUUCAACGGCCGCGGUAUUCUGACCGUGCAAAGGUAGCGCAAUCACUUGUCUUUUAAAUGAAGACCCGUAUGAAUGGCAAAACGAGGGCUUAACUGUCUCCUUAGUCCAGUCAAUGAAAUUAACCUCCCCGUGCAGAGGCGGGGAUGCACCCAUAAGACGAGAAGACCCUAUGGAGCUUCAGACACCAGACCGACCAUGUUAACCACCUUAAAACAAAAUCGCGAACCCGAUGGUUACCGUCUACAUGUCUUAGGUUGGGGCGACCAUGGGGAAAAACACAACCCCCACGUGGACUGGGAGCAAAUGCCCGUUACCAACUCCCAAAACCAAGAGACACUCCUCAAAUAAACAGAACUUCUGACCUCAAAUGAUCCGGCAAAGCCGAUCAACGAAACAAGUUACCCUAGGGAUAACAGCGCAAU
rnacentral:rRNA from 1 species